rnacentral:lncRNA from 1 species
AAGUGUUUCAUCCUUUUUAGUGUAGAUUAUCUAUAUUAUACUCGUUAUACAUGUGCUCAUACAUGUGCAUCGUGCAUCUCAUGAGGUACGAUAAAUAAUCACGUGAUGCGAAAAACGACACAAGUCGACCCCAAGCGCGGGCUACUCCGCAUGGUGAUGCUGAUGGACGAACCAGAAGAUGGAUAAUCGGAACGAGUGCCAAGCCCAAGGAUGCUCGUCAAGUGGUCGCCACUUAACAAACACUAACCUAGUGUUAUUCAGGCAAGCCCCAGUGCAUUUGCCACCUCCUUGAUGUUUUAAAAAUCUUUAUCACCUUGUUUGAUGCAUUAGGUGAUAGGAGUUGUGUGCUAAACCGUUGAUGCAUUUCCUUCCUUGAAAAAUUGAUUACCCUUCCUUGUUACCCUUUUUGAAAAGAAUUUUAUGAUGUUUAGCUUUGCUUUAGCAAACAAAAAAGUUUUGUUUUAAAACAAAGGUGAUGCUUCAGUGGGUGGGAAUGUUUUCAAAAAUAAAACUUGAUGGUGAAUCCAUCAAGGCCUUGAUGGGUUCAACAUCAGAAAAGAUGUACCUCUGCCAGGUACCAAACUUUGGGUUGAAAUUAAUAAAGCUGAGACCGGGCGGUUGACUUGCACGAGAAGGGAGUCUCGGUGUAGUGUCUCUGUCUGAGUCGAUUAAGGACCGUCUCGACGUAGGCUUGCUGAUCGAGGACCCUUUAACUGGUCACAUGACUCGUCAUGGGUAAGCUUUGCCUCGGGCAGACUAAUACCAGAAUAAGAUAACAUGCAAUGGGAGUGGAGAGAUGGCGAGAGUAGCGUGUACCCUCCGUGGCAAGAGGCUGGACGGUGGUGUAUCUGUGCUCUCGGUUGGCGUUAACCUGAUCUGGUCUUAAGAACCCCAGUGGCGAGUUGACAUAUGUGUCGGCAUUUUGACCCCGGGGGGUCCCUGGACCGACGAGUAAAUUGUCGCCGCGUGCCCCAGCCCAGAUGGGUCGGCGCGAGACGGAGCACGAAGGGGGAGAAAGAGCCGGAGGGAGACAGGCGUAAAAGGGGAAACCCAUGGCCUUCGUGUUUGUCCCGCGCCCAGGUCGGGUGCGCUUGCAGUAGGGGGUUACAAGCGUCCGCGCGGGAGGGAGCGAGAGGCUUACGCGAGCGCCGUCCCGUCCUUCCCCGCUCGGCCAACACUCUGUAAGAGGGCCCUAGACCUUCCUUUUAUAGGCGUGAGGAGGGGGUCCAGGUGUACAAUUGGGAGAUGUAGCAGUGCGCUAACGUGUCUAGCAGAGAGGAGCUAGUGCCCUAAGUACAUGCCGUCGUGGCAGCCGGAGAGGUUUUGGCACCCUGUUCGUGUGAUGUCGUGGUCGUUGGAGGAGUGCUGGAGCCUGGCGGAAGGACAGCUGUCGGGGCUGUCGAGUCCUUGCUAUCGUCUCCUUGCUUCCGUAAGAGGGCUGAGAGCCGCCGUCGUCAUGGAGCAUGCAGGGCGCCAUCAUUGUUUGUUUUACCGGGGCGAGCCAGAUGGGACGCCGGUCUUGUUCCCCAUAGCCAGAGUUAGCUAGGGGUAGGGUAAUGAUGGCCCCUCCUGUGACGUGGUCGGUCCGAGCCCUGGGUAGGGCGAGGCGGAGGCUCCUCCGAGGUCGAGGUCGAGUCUCUCUUCUGGGGCUGAGCCCGAGUCCGAGCCCUGGAUCGAGCGAGGCGGAGUUCGUCGUCUUCCGGGGCUGAGCCUGGGUCCGAGCCCUGGGUCGGGCGAGGCGGAGUUCGUCGUCUUCUGGGGCUGAGCCCGAGUCCGAGCCCUGGGUCGGGCGAGGCGGAGUUCGUCGUCUUCCGGGGCUGAGCCCGAGUCCGAGCCCUGGGUCGGGCGAGGCGGAGUUCGUCGUCUUCCGAGGCUGAGCCCGAGUCCGAGCCCUGGGUCGGGCGAGGCGGAGCUUCCUAUGGCGCCUGAGGCCGGACUUGGCUGCUGUCAGCCCCACUCUAUCGAGUGGCACAGCAGUCGGAGCAGCACGGGCAGCGCUGUCUUCUUGUCAGGCUGGUCAGUGGAGCGGCGAAGUGACGGCGGUCACUUCGGCUCAGUCGACUGAAAGGCGCGCCUCAGGAUAAGGUGUCAGGCCACCUUUGCAUUAAAUGCUCAUGCGAUACGGUCGGUCGUUGUGGUGAUUUGGCCAAGGUUGCUUCUUGGCGAAGACUGGGCCUCGGGCGAGCCGAAGGUGUGUCCAUUGCUUGAGGGUGUCCUCGGGCGAGACGUAACUCCUGCGGGGUCGGCUGCCCUUGCCCGAGGCUGGGCUCGGGCGAGGCGAGAUCGUGUCUCUUGAGUGGACCGAGCCUUGACUUAAUCGCACCUGUCAGGCCUUUGCAGCUUUGUGCUGAUGGGGGUUACCAGCUGAGAUUAGGAGCCUUGAGGGUACCCCUAAUUAUGGUCCCCGACAGUAGCCCCCGAGCCUCAAAGGGAGUGUUAAUACUCGCUUGGAGGCUUUUGUCGCACUUUUUUGCAAGGGGAUCGGCCAUUCUCGGUUGCGUUUUGUUCCGGUGGGUGCGCGCAAGCGCACCCACCGGGUGUAGCCCCCGAGGCCUCGAAGGAGUGGUUUGACUCCUUCGAGGUCUUAAUGCGUUUCGUGAUGCUUCGGCCGGUCUGGUUGUUCCCUCAUGCGAGCUGGCCGUAGCCCGGGUGCACGGUCGGGUCCCAAGUUCUCGGGCUAGUAUGUUGACGCUGUCAAUGGUUUGGCCGGAGCCGAGUUUGCGAGAGCAGCCCCCGAGCCCCUGCACAGAGCGAGAGGAUGGUCAAGGAUGAGGGGGGAAAAGCGCCAUGUUGCCCUUGGAGGGCGCCGAACAUGGUGUCUCCAGUGAGCUGCUGACGGGUAAUCCGAGUGGACGCCCGUGCCCCAUUUGGUAGGAUUCCAAGGUGCGAAAUCCAUCUUGUCUUAGAGUAGAAAAGAUAAGAAUGAUCAGAGUAGAAUAGCAAAAGGUGAGACAAGAUCAAGAUGAGAUGAGUAUAGAAUGAGUCAGAGUAGGGUAAGUAGGAAAGGUUUGUCCAUUUCUAUCUAGGUUUCGUCCUACAGUCAACAUUUCCUCUGAUACCACUUCUGUAACACCCGGCUUUAAGGAACAAAGCCAGGUGCAUUUCAUACAUGCGCCAAGAAGACAACAUAUAUAAUAACAGAGUGUAUAGAGAUAAAUGUCAUAAAACAUCAGAGUAUUUAUUACAUAGCGGAAGACUUAUUACAAAAUAAAAGUAAUAAACAUGAAACGAACUAAGGAUCGUUGGCGCCAAUGUCGACUGAGAAACGCCACCUAGAUCAGAUCAUACUCCUCAGUGUUAGGCGGCUCCUCCUGAACCACCUGGUCAUCUCCUGUGGGGGGGGGUGUGAGACAGCAAGGGUGAGCUCACACAUGAUCAUAGCUCAACAAGUUGUGGGGAACCAGUGGACAUAAACUCACAAAGGUGUGAGUUCAUGUGAUGUGUAAGGCUAAUCAAAGAUAGGGGUUAAAGCUGAGCAUUGCUUUUAAGUAGUUGGUCAAAAUUUUAUUAGCAAUUACUAAGUGUAAGUAAAUACCAAACCAUAAGUAAAGUAAUAGGACAAAAUUAAUAAUAAACCCAUGCAAUGCAAAUGACAAAAUUGAAUUUAAGUUCCAUAAUUUAAACAUCAGAGAGUCCUGAGUUGCUCAUGACCGCGAGCACGGCUAGUAUACCAGUUUUACACUCUGCAGAGGUUGUACCCUUUACCCACAAGUCAUGUUACCCAUCUGCCAAGGGGUCAUGAAUCCCAUACACCUCUACCUAGGAAGCGCGGCAGGGCAACACUACGAGGCCUUUACAAAGUUCCACUAGCUUCCGAAAACCCGCUACAGUUUAUGGGAAGAUCCAGUACAGGGUUCCUGGCUGACAGCCAUCGCAGCAAAAUCAACCAGGGACCUCCCCGCACUGACCUCUCCCCUACUGCCCUUGCCCCUUUCGGGUAAGGUAGUCUUCCACUAGCUUUCCUAAUUAGUCAGCCAAGGGCGUCCCAUUAAACCCUUGUGGUGGCACGUGUUACUCAAGUUAAGCUCUAUGUUCCAAUUAACAUUAAUGAACUUGACAUGAACAUAAACAGAAUAACAUAAAGAAUUGGAACAUAGAGGUAAUAAGUGAUUAUCCCAAAACCAUGUAAAGCAAUAGCAAACUACCCAAGUGAUUCAGGGGUAAACAAGGUAAUGAGAUAAACAAUUCUAGGGUGACCUAUUGGGUCCCAUCAAAAUUAACCUAUGCAUGGAUAAGUGAUAUUAAAGAGCAUUAUUAGGUAAAAAGUGGUCAAGGGCACAACUUGCCUGGCACUUGAGAUUCCAGGUACCAACUUGCUUUUCAGAUGACACGUGUCCUCGCGCUAGUCGUAGCAAUACAAACAAACAUUGUAUAGACAAAAUUAACAUCACACCAAACAUAAGAACAAACUGAAUAAGAAUGAUCUACGCAUUUCUACGAGACUAACGCAACUUGAACGGAUCAAAUCGGAGUUAAAACGAAGGAGUUAUGAAUUUCCUAAGAUUUUAUGUAUUUGAUAUGAGAUUAAUUAGGAGAUCAAUUUUAUUAUUGUUUUCAUGUCAAAACAGAGGCAUUAGGUGAUAAACAACAUUAUUACAAAAUUAUAGAAAUUGAAAUGGAUCCAUUUGGAAUUAAAAUGAAUUAGAUAUGAAAUUUCCAAGUUUCUAGAAUUAUUUUUUGUAAUAAAAAUCAAUUUCUAAUAUUACCUCUCUGUUUUUACUGUUUUUGGACUGCGCGUCAAAAUUCUGGAAAUGCAGGGGCCCUGGCGCAAUUUGCACUAAGACACAAGCAACCAUAGGAUGGACUGCGGGUUUAUUAUGAAUAACUCCGAGGACUCUUUUGCAGUUUUACAGGUCGAACGGGUACCGUGCACUCAGAGCCGUUGGAUUUAAAGGAUACGGUCCAGAUCUGAUCGGGCGAAGGGGUAUGCAGGACCUAAUCCAAACCACACACCAGCCCAUCUACGGCCCUGAUUUUAAAUGGCUGAACUCUAAUCUCACCCGAUCGAUCUGGCAUCAAUGGCUAGGAUCAAUCCUUCCCAAAGCGAUAUCAGUAAUACCCGAUCACUACCUCACGAUAAUCAUCCUACGGUCACUAUCUUUCCCCCCCAAUCGCGCCCCCUACUAGCAGCCCGAGCGCGGCGGCGCAGAUACGCCCACGGCGAAGCUCACCCGGCGAGGAGCACGCCCAGAGACCUAGAACCCAAAUCCUAAAAUCGAUUGGCGCAACACGUAGAAGAGCAGCUAGCGAAGUUAUCUGGGCCACAUACCGGCGGUGAAGUAGCUGAGACAUCCAGCCACGGUGAUAGGCGGAAGUGCGGCAGCGCCAUGUCGACGGCGAGAAAUUACUUGCGCCCAGCCUGACUCCUCAGCCUGGAGGAUUGACGCCUACACAUCCCGAGUCCCGGUGAAGCACCCCGACCAGGGAUCCGGGUCCGGGCGACGGUGUCGCCGAUUUGCCCCCGCGACGGCUCCAUUCUCUCCCCACACAUGGCCACGGCGCCGAUGAAUCCAUGUCUAAGAGCAAUUCCGGCGAGCCAAGGCGAUUUCCCAGACCGAGACGUCCACGCGAAAAUCACAAAGGACCCUGACGAGGCUCCCAGCCCAUGGGUUCGAGUUCAACCGACGGUGCUCCCUGAUUCCGCCAUUACGGCGCUACCCCUCCUCUCAUGCUCGACAGCGGAGGGCCUUCUUCUCCCUACCGAACUGGUGACUCUAAAAUCUCGGCACGGCUUGGGGUCCAAUGGGGGCGGCCGGCCUUUAUUGCGCGGCAGCCAAGCUUGCUCCGAAUUCAACUCCGAUUUGGGGGGGGGGGAAUCGAUCGGAGGUGCGCGCGCUAUGCGUUGCCGUGGGGAAGACGGUGGGUUCUGUUUCACCCGUGCGCGCGAAUAGGAGGGAGCCAACACUGACACAGCGGUCCCACUAGUCAUUGGUGCCUAGGAGUGGGCGCAAGGAUUUGGGCCAGCGCGGAUGUGGAGCAAAGGAGAAUUGGGCCAAAAGUGGUGCGGUUGGCCCAAUUAGGCUAGGUUUGCUUUCUUUUUUUUCUAUUUAUUUUUCCUAUUCUAUUUCCAAUUGAAUUCACUUUUGAAUCUGAGUUUGAAUUUUUCUAUUCAAACCAAAAUGCACAAUCAAAAUCCAGCAUGAUGCAUUAUUCAUUGUAUAUAUAUAUUUUUAUUCAUUCAUUUAUUAUUCUACAUAAACAAUUGCUUUUGAAUAUGUAGCACACACGCCAUUAUUUUAAAAGAAAUAGUUUAUAUUGUAUGAUCUAAAAAAAAUGUUCUCACAUUAAUAUUUAUAAACUUCAAUAAAGUCUAAUUCAUAUGAGAAUAUUUUUUUUAUGAAUUUUUGUUAUAGAACUUUUAUUUAAGGAGAUGUGACUUCAAAUGUUUUUGGGAAUUCCAAAGAAGAAAGAAAGAAAGAAAAAAAAUCUAAUUCAAGCUCUUUGAAAAAUUUUACUGUAUUCUCAAAAUGAGAUUUAGGGUGUUACAGCUAGAGGCCCGGAGGCGCGCUCCAAAAGUACCUACGGGUGAUCUGCCGGACCCGGUCCCCUUUUGACGGGGUCCGAGGGCUCGAUGCCUCCCUCUGAUGGGAUUCCGUUAGAAGAUCGUUCCCGCUAGUCUCGGAAAUGUCCUAGGGUACCUCGGGAGCGUAGCUCGAGCCUUGGUUAUGUAUCGAACGUACCCAGGGUCAUCCCUCGCUCUGCGUCUGAGGCGGCUGUGAACCCUUUGAGGGCUAGCCUACGAACCCCUGAUCAGUAGUGGGCGCGGAGCCCGAGUGGCCUGAGGCGGCCGUUGAACCCUUCCGAGGGGCCGGCCUUUGAACCUCUGACCAGUAGUGGGCGCGGAGCCCGAGCGUUCUGAGGCGGCUGUUGAACCCUCCGAGGGGCCAGUCUUCGAACCUCUGAUCAGUAGGGGGGCUCGGAGCCCGUUUCCUUCACGGAGAAGGAUCCCUUUCGGGGUAUCCCCUUUCCCGGUACCUGUUGUAAGAGAGAGAAAGAGGAAGAGGAAAAGGAUACGAAAUCGAAUAACGUGGCGCACCUUUUUGACGCGGUCAUUAUGGCGGAGGUGAAGCGUCGCCCGCUUCUCCCGCCAAAGGUGUCGCCUGUCCCGCCGCGGAGUUAAUGCGACGGGACGAGUGGUUCGCGGGGCAGCCGUUGCGCGUGCGCGAGCCGUUCGAGGAACGGAACACGGGCGCGCCGUCUUCACGCCGUGGGAGAGGGUUCUCUCGCUGUCCCAGGAGGGGACGUGAGCUUGGCUGACGAUGUGACCGCUGCUUCCGCCCGCCUGCCACCGCCAUUACUGUCGGCCCAUUUUUGGCCAUAUCGACCGUCGCGCCUUCUCCCGCAGCUGACUGACCCGUGACCGAUGUGCCUGGCUGGCACUGUUGGGUCAUACGCAGGGUUGCCUCGAGUCGCGGUACUGGUUCCGCAGUCGAGGAGGCACUGUAGUGGCGCGAGUGGCGGUGCAGUUUCUUGCAUGUAGCAACCGGCGCGCCGGUUACAUGACGUGUGGGCCUGGGCCUCCAUGCUGGACGCGUUGGAGUCGAAAGGGUGCGCCCACUUGGUGUGGUUGCAUGCCGUCUGCAUGGCGGUCCGCCCUUUCACCCGCUGGUCUGGGUGAAAGUGGAGGAAUGCUUGUAACCGCUGAGCAGUUGCGCGCACCACGCGCGGCGGUUUGGCUUCUUCUGCCCUGGGCCAGCUUGCAUGACGCGUGGGACCCGGCCCCGUGUCGUAGGGGGAGGACCUUGGAGCGUGUUGGAGAAGACUCAGCCCGCGAUGGCUGAGGACGCAAGUGGGGAGAGGUGCCUUUAAAAGGAGGGUGACCCCUUGAAAGGCAACCAAGUCUUUGUGCUCCCCUCAUGCAUCGUGACUUUCCACCUUCUGAGCCCCCGGAUGGGGGACACUCGUAGUUCUUCCGCCUUGUCGUUGGAGGAACGCAACUUCACGGAAGUUGGUACCUUUCAGCCAUCGUUCGGCUUCAAGGAUUUUCAUCAGGCAGCCCGGCCGCAUCCCCUCGCCGGUGGUCACUCAAGAUGGUGACCACCAGCCCCUGGGUGGGGAGAAGCAAGCCGGGCUGCGGCCUUUGCCCCUCCCUCAGCUUCAAGGAUGUUGAUCAUCAGUGCUGGAAAGGGGAGUGCGCCGAGUUGGGGUCGGUCUCCGCGUGGGCAGCGGCCCGCUCCUUCCCUCAGUGAUCGAGGGGAAGGGCGUUCGCUGUUCGUGGCGCUGGCAGCUGCCACGUGUCCGGCUCUCCGGCCCGAGCGGCUUCGGCGCCGCUUUCGGUGCCACCUUCCGCCACGGCAGCCGGAAGAGGUUUCUCCGCCGACGAGAUAGCCGGUGCCGCGCACGGACUGACCUCCAACUCUACGGCCUUCUGCUCGUCCUCACCCCUCGAGUGGGGACGUGGGCGAGGGCCUUAUGGCAGCAGCAUCCGCCCUGAGGUCAUCGCUGCUGCUGUUCGGCCGCUCGGAGCAGAAGUCGUCGUCGCUGCUGCUGAAGCGGGCGGCGGCGAGCCAUCCGUCGGCCUUUUGUUGCUCCGCAGGCCCUCCAAUCGUGGGGGGUUGUUUGUACCUGCAAAGGUGGAACCGGAGCUCCAUUUGUAAUGGCACCUUGAGUGCCGGUGUUUUGUUUAUUGUGGCUGUCGGGGCCUGAACAUGUAUGUAUCUUCGGCACGGAGCCGUGUUUUUUCCUUAUUUCGAGCACUAGGACUCGCCUGUCGGCUAACUGAACCGCUCAACUAAGUGUGAGUUGCCUCGUGCGAAGGUGAUGAGUGAGGUAUUCGUAUCCCAGAGGCGUAGGAAUCCCUUGGCUCGGUCGGCCUUGCCGCCCGAGGCUUCUCUUGCUUAGUCAAAGGAUCCCUCGGUCGCUCUUCGAUGAGCCGAAGCCGGAGGCAGCGGUGUCAGCAUGGAUAGAGGCAGAGUUGGCUUCGAAAAGAAGACUUCGUCGGCCGGAGCCUGUCUGGGCCGUCCACUGGCGGGACCAGCGCCGGAGUAGAGUUGCCGAGGCCACAAAUCGGGCUGAUGUCCUCGGGGGACAGCUGGCUGAGGCUUCGGGGUGGCCGGCCGAACCGUUUGCUCGGGCCGGAUUCCUGGAGAAGACCCUGGCGGCGGCGGCCCAGGCGUGGUGCUGAUGUCGUCCUUCGGAGUGGAGAUCCUCCGACCACGUUGCCGUCCGAGGCUAUGUCGGACUUCGCCGAAGGUGUAGUUGACGCCGAGGGUGCUGCUGCUCCCUUCAAUUGUCAAGGUCCGAGCCUGCAGGAUCGGUUUACCUUGUAGUGUGUGUAUGUUUUCUGCGGCCGCCGAGGCCCAAACACACUGUCGUCGUGUUGUAAAGCUGCGUUUCUUUUCCUCUUGUUUCGAGUGUCUGGACUUAUUUGUCGGUAAAAGAAUUGUUUGUCCGAGCGAGAGUUACUUUUCACGGAAGGUGAUGAGUGAGGUAUCCGUAUCCCGGAGGCAUAGGAGUCUCUCGGCUCGGUCGGCCUUGCCGCUUACGUGUACUCUUACUCGUCCGUAGGAUUCUGCUAUCGAUAUAGUCGAGAAGGCCCGAAAAAUCGUUUCGGCAGAAGAGUUUUCGAGCGUGAAGACUUGUUCGGUCCGCGGAGUCACCUAUCCGAGCGUGAGUUACUUAUCACAGAAGGUGAUGAGUGAGGUAUCCGUAUCCCGGAGGCGUAGGAGUCCCUCGGCUCGGUCAGCCUUGGCUGCUUACGUGUACUCCGUCGUUUUCAGGAUCCCACUUUCGAAGUAGUCGAAAAGCACGAAAGACAUUCUGGCAGAAAGGAUGUUUUCCGAGGAAAAUUUUGACGUAGAGGGGGUUCCCCCCUUCUAGCCCCCGAGGGAGGGUCGGGCUUUGCCGAGGCAAGGCUGACCCUUCCUUGAUGGUUAGACUUUGUGUGUGAACGAAGUGUACGAAUGACUUGAAAGCAUCUUAAGGGUAGAAGCGACGUAGCUGUCGGAUGUUCUAAGCGUUGCUGUAGACCUCGCCUUGACUGUUGGCCAGCUUGUACGUCCCGGGCUUCAGAACCUUGGCGAUGACGAACGGCCCUUCCCAGGGAGGCAUGAGCUUGUGUCGCCCUCGGGCGUCUUGUCGCAGCCGAAGCAACAAGUCGCCCACCUGGAGGUCUCGGGACCGAACCCCUCGGGCGUGGUAGCGUCGCAGGGACUGCUGGUACCACGCCGAGUGCAGUAAGGCCAUGUCCCGAGCCUCUUCCAGCUAGUCCAGUGAGUCUUCUCGGUUAGCUCGAUUGCUUUGGUCAUCGUAGGCCCUCGUCCUCGGGGAACCGUAUUCUAAGUCUGUGGGCAAGAUGGCCUCGGCCCCAUAGACUAGAAAGAACGGUGUGAAGCCCGUGGCUCGGCUUGGCGUUGUCCUCAGGCUCCAGACCACCGAGGGGAGUUCCUUCAUCCAUCGCUUGCCGAACUUGUUGAGGUCGUUGUAGAUCCGCGGCUUGAGUCCUUGCAGAAUCAUGCCGUUGGCAUGCUCUACUUGCCCAUUCGUCAUGGGGUGAGCCACGGCGGCCCAGUCCACCUGGAUGUGGUGAUCCUCGCAGAAGUCCAGGAACUUUCUGCCGGUGAACUGGGUGCCGUUGUCGGUGAUGAUAGAGUUCGGGACCCCAAAGCGGUGGAUGAUGUUGGUGAAGAACGCCACCGCCUGUUCGGACCUGAUGCUGCUUAGGGGUCGGACCUCGAUCCACUUGGAGAAUUUGUCGAUGGCGACCAGCAGGUGCGUGUAGCCCCUGGGUGCCUUCUGCAAGGGACCGACGAGGUCCAGACCCCACACAACAAAUGGCCAGAUGAUGGGUAUCGUCUGUAGAGCCUGAGCGGGUAGGUGGGUCUGCCUUGCAUAGAAUUGACACCCUUGGCAGGUGCGGACAAUUCUAGUGGCGUCGGCCACCGCGGUCGGCCAGUAGAAACCUUGCCGGAAGGCAUUUCCAACAAGGGCUCGGGGCGCUGCGUGGUGACCGCAAGCCCCCGAGUGUAUUUCUUGUAAGAGCUCCUGGCCUUCGACGAUGGAUAUGCAUCACUGGAGGAUGCCUGAGGGGCUGCGGUGGUAGAGCUCCUUGCCGUCCCCCAGCAAGAUGAACGACUUGGCGCGUCGCACCAACUGCCGAGCUUCGGCUCGGUCGAGGGGUAGCUCUCCUCGGUGGAGAUAUUGCAGGUACGGGGUCUGCCAGUUUCGAUUAGGCGUGACCCCGCUCCGCUCCUCCUCGAUGCGCAGUGCCUCACCUUCGGGGGCCGAGGGUGCCUCGAGCCGAGCCGAGGAUGCCUCGGGCUGGGCCGAGGGUGCCUCGGGCUCGGGCACGUCGUCGGUCUUGACGGAGGGUUGAUGCAGGUCUCGGGAGAAGGCGUCCAGGGGAACCGUUGUUCGCCCCGAGGCUAUCUUAGCCAGCUCGUCCGCAGUCUCGUUGUAUCGUCGGGCGAUGUGGUUGAGCUCGAGCCCGUAGAACUUAUCUUCCAGGCGCCGAACCUCAUCGCAGUAGGCUUCCAUCUUCGGGUCGCGGCAGUGGGAGUUCUUCAUGACUUGGUCGAUGAUGAGCUGCGAGUCACCGCGAGCGUCGAGGCGUCGGACCCCUAGCUCGAUGGCGAUGCACAACCCAUUGACCAGAGCCUCGUACUCGGCCACAUUGUUGGACGCUGGGAAGUGGAGGCGUAGCACGUAGUGUAGGUGCUUCCCGAGGGCCGAGAUGAAGAGCAGGCCCGCGCCUGCCCCUGUCUUCAUCAGCGACCCAUCUAAAAACAUGGUCCAGAGUUCCAGUUGGAUCGGAGCUGGGUAUCGACCCAUUCAGCCACAAAGUCCGCCAAGACUUGGGACUUGAUUGCCUUCCGAGGGGCGAACGAGAUUGCCUCACCCAUGAUUUCCACCGCCCACUUUGCAAUCCUACCCGAGGCCUCUCGGCACUGGAUGAUCUCCCCCAGGGGGAAGGAUGACACCACAGUCACCGGAUGAGACUCGAAGUAGUGUCGCAACUUCCGCCGCGUCCGGAUCACCGCGUACAGUAGCUUCUGAAUUUGUGGGUAGCGGAUCUUGGUCUCGGACAGUACCUCACUGAUGAAGUAGACUGGCCUCUAGACGGGAAAUGCAUGCCCCUCUUCUCGUCUCUCAACCACGAUCGUGGCGCUAACCACCUGAGUGGUAGCGGCGACGUAGAUCAAGAGGGCUUCUCCGGCUACGGGGGGCACCAAGAUGGGCGCGUUCGUGAGGAGCGCCUUUAGGUUCCCGAGGGCUUCCUCGGCCUCAGGGGUCCAUGUGAAGCACUCGGCCUUUCUUAAGAGGCGGUACAGAGGCAGGCCUCUUUCGCCGAGGCGCGAGAUGAAACGGCUCAGAGCCGCAAGGCAUCCCGUGACCCUCUGUACGCCUUUCAAGUCCUUGAUGGGCCCCAUGUCGGUGAUGGCCGCGAUUUUCUCCGGGUUGGCCUCGAUGCCCCGCUCGGAGACGAUGAACCCCAAGAGCAUGCCUCGGGGGACCCCGAAGACACACUUCUCAGGAUUGAGUUUUACGCCUUUCGCCUUGAGACAUCGGAAUGUCACUUCAAGGUCGGAAAGGAGGUCAGAGGCUUUCCUCGUCUUGACUAUGAUGUCAUCGACGUAAGCCUCGAUCGUUCGACCAAUUUGUUCGCCGAACACGUGGUUCAUGCACCUUUGGUACGUCGCACCCGCAUUCCUCAAACCAAACGGAAUGGUAACAUAGCAGUACAUGCCGAAAGGUGUGAUGAAAGAAGUCGCGAGCUGGUCGGACUCUUUCAUCCUGAUUUGGUGAUACCCUGAGUAGGCAUCGAGGAAAGACAGGGUUUCGCACCCAGCAGUGGAAUCCAUGAUUUGAUCGAUGCGAGGCAGAGGGUAGGGAACUUUUGGACAUGCUUUGUUUAGACCAGUGUAGUCUACACACAUCCGCCAUUUCCCUCCUUUCUUUCUCACAAGCACAGGGUUGGCAAGCCAUUCCGGGUGGAAUACCUCUUUGAUGAACCCUGCUUCCAUUAGCUUGUGGAUCUCCUCGCCUAUGACUCUGCGCUUUUCUUCGUCGAAUCGGCGCAGAGGCUGCUUCACGGGUCGGGCUCCAGCUCGGAUAUCCAGCGAGUGCUCGGCGACAUCCCUCGGUAUGCCGGGCAUGUCCGAGGGACUCCACGCAAAAACGUCGGCGUUUGCGCGGAGAAAGUCGACGAGCACUGCUUCCUAUUUGGGAUCAAGCUCGGAGCCGAUCCGGAUCUGCUUGGAGGCGUCGUUGCUAGGGUCGAGGGGGACGGACUUAACCGUCUCCGCUGGCUCGAAGUUGCCGGCAUGGCGCCUCCUUACAGAGGCUAUCCAGGUUGGCGAUGAGGGCCUCGGAUUCGGCGAGGGCCUCGGCGUACUCCACGCACUCCACGUCGCAUUCGUACGCGUGUCGGUACGUGGGGCCGAAGGUGAUGACCCCGUUGGGGCCCGACAUCUUGAGCUUGAGGUAGGUGUAGUUGGGGACGGCCAUAAACUUGGCGUAGCAUGGCCUCCCCAACACCGCGUGGUAGGUUCCUCGGAACCCGACCACCUCGAACGUGAGGGUUUCCCUUCGGAAGUUUGAGGGAGUCCCGAAGCAGACGGGUAGAUCGAGUUGUCCGAGGGGCUGGACGCGUUUCCCGGGGAUGAUCCCGUGAAAAGGCGCCGCGCCUACCCGGACCGAGGACAGAUCGAUCCGCAGGAGCCCGAGGGUCUCGGCGUAGAUGAUGUUAAGGCUGCUGCCUCCGUCCAUGAGGACCUUGGUGAGCCUGACGUUGCCGACGACGGGGUCGACAACGAGCGGGUACUUCCCCGGGCUCGGCACGCGGUCGGGGUGGUCGCCCUGGUCAAAGGUGAUGGGCUUGUCGGACCAGUCUAGGUAGACUGGCGCCGCCACCUUUACCGAGCAGACUUCUCGACGCUCUUGCUUGCGGUGCCGAGCCGAGGCGUCCGACACUUGCCCACCGUAGAUCAUGAAGCAGUCGUGGACCUCGAGGAACUCUCAUGCCUUGUGAUCCUCCUUCUUAUCGUCGUCGCGGGCCCUGCCACCUUCUGCAGGUGGCCUGGCCUUGUGAAAGUGGCGCCGAAGCAUGGCGCACUCCUCAAGGGUGUGCUUGACAGGCCCCUAAUGGUAGGGGCACGGCUCCUUGAGCAUCUUAUCGAAGAGAUUGGCACCUCCGGGAGGUUUCCGAGGGUUCUUGUACUCGGCGGCGGCGACAAGGUCCGCGUCGGUGGCGUCGCGUUUCGCUUGUGACUUCUUCUUGCCCUUCUUCUUGGUGCCACGCUGAGUGGACGCCUCGGGGACAUCUUCUGGCUGGCGCCCCUGGGGCUGCUUAUCCUUCUGGAAGAUGGCCUCAACUGCCUCCUGGCCAGAGGCGAACUUGGUGGCGAUGUCCAUCAGCUCGCUCGCCCUGGUGGGGGUCUUGCGACCCAGCUUGCUCACCAGGUCGCGGCAGGUGGUGCCGGCGAGGAACGCGCCAAUGACAUCCGAGUCGGUGACGUUGGGCAGCUCGGUGCGCUGCUUCGAGAAUCGCCGGAUGUAGUCCCGGAGAGACUCUCCCGGCUGCUGGCGGCAGCUUCGGAGACCCCAGGGCGCACGUACGUGCCCUGGAAGUUGCCGGCGAAGGCUUGGACCAGGUCGUCCCAGUUGGAGAUCUGCCCCGGAGGCAGGUGCUCCAGCUAGGCUCGAGCGGUGUCGGAGAGGAACAGGGGAGGUUGCGGAUGAUGAGGUUGUCAUCGUCCAUUCCACCCAGGUGGCAGGCCAGCCGGUAGUCCGUGAGCCACAGUUCCGGUCUCGUCUCCCCCGAGUACUUGGUGAUAGUAGUCAGGGUUCGGAACCGGGUCGGGAACGACGCCCGUCGUAUGGCCCGGCUGAAAGCCUGCGGACCGGGUGGUUCGGGCGAGGGACUCCGAUCCUCCCCGCUGUUGUAGCGUCCCCCACGCCUGGGGUGGUAGCCUCGGCGCACCCUCUCGUCGAGGUGAGUUCGACGGUUGCGGUGAUGGUGCUCGUUGCCGAGGCGGCCCGGGGCCGCAGGCGCUGUGUUGCGCGUGCGCCCGGUGUGGACCGAGGCUUCCCACAUGAAUCGGGAAGUCGCGGCGCAAUGUUCCGAGGGGUACCCCUGCCUUCGGGAGGCAGAGCUUUCGGCCCAUCGGACCGCGACAUCUUCCAGGAGAUUCUUGAGCUCUCCCUGGAUACGCCGCCCCUCGGUGGUUGAUGGCUCCGGCAUCGCGCGAAGAAGUAUUGCCGCUGCAGCCAGGUUCUAGCCGACCCCACUGGAAGCCGGUGGCGGUCUUGCCCUGACAUCAUCGGCGAUGCGGUGCUGGAUGCCCUGGGGUAGAUGACGCGCUUCUCCGGCCGGAGGUUGGCCCACCCAUUCCUGCCCGAUGUCCUGGCGGAACGGCUCAAGCGUUCCUGCUCCCUCGUCGAGCCUGGCCUGCAUCUCGCGGAUUUGCUUGAGCUGUGAGUCAUGACCCCCCACCGGGACGGGGAUCACAGCUAGCUCUCGUAGGAUGUCAACGCGAGGCGCAGGCCUAGGGGGAUCACCGUUCUCCGGUAUAACAAGAUGGUUACCUUCGUCGGGACCCCCUAGAUCGACGUGGAAACAUUCACGACUUGGGCCGCAGUCCUCAUCACCGAGGCUGCGGCUACCGUCGGAACAAUCGGAGAGGCAGUAGUCGCAUGCGGUCCUGAAGUCCCGCAUGACACUGGGGUUACCAAGUACGGAGAAAUCCCAACAAAAGUCGGGCUCGUCAUCUUCCUCGGAACUCGAGGGCCCGUAGGUCAAGACGGCUGUCAGCCGGUCCUAGGGCGACCGCAUACGAUACCCCGGAGGGUUUGGACUCGCCUCUGCGAAAGCGUCCACCAAAGCGAGGUCGCUUGGUGGGUCGAGGCUGAAUCCAAAAGGCACGAGAUGGGAAUCGGUCGGUACCUCUUGGUCGACGGGCGGUGACGAAGUCACGUCAGGGGUAGACUGCACCGUCGUCUCAGGUACAAGGGUGACGCCCAGCAAGUCCCUUGCGAGCAUGCUGGUGUCGUUCGUUUGCUUGGAGUUGGCGUGUUGCGGGGAAACGACGCUCGUCUUCGUCUCAGACGCGAAGUCGAUGCCCGACGUGUCCCCCGUUGGGGCGCCGGCGCCGUCGACUCGCUCGACAGCCGACGAGGUGCCGCCUCCUGCUUGGCCUUGGUUGCCCCGCCUCCUCCUCCGUCGGCGGGGGAGGCGACGGGACAAACCCGAAUGUUGUUCUUCCGCCACGUGGGGAAGACGUCGUCGAUUCCGCCGUCGGCGGGCGGGUUGUCGGCCGCCAUUGUCGCCGUCGCGCGCCGGGGGAAGGAGUAUCAUGUCGUAGCUGCCGUCGAGGGACAUGAACUCAAGACUCCCGAAACGGAGCACCGUCCCGGGCUAGAAAGGUUGCUGGAGACUGCCCAUCUGGAGCUUGACGGGAAGCUGUUCGUCAACAUGCAGCAGGCCCCUACCUGGCGCGCCAACUGUCGGCGUUUCGACCCCGGGGGGUCCCUGGACCGACGAGUAAAUUGUCGCCGCGUGCCCCAGCCCAGAUGGGUCAGCGCGAGACGGAGCGCGAAGGGGGAGAAAGAGCCGGAGGGAGCCAUGCGUAAAAGGGGAAACCCACGGCCUUCGUGUUUGUCCCGCGCCCAGGUCGGGUGCGCUUGCAGUAGGGGGUUACAAGCGUCCGUGCGGGAGGGAGCGAGAGGCUUAUGCGAGCGCCGUCCCGUCCUUCCCCGCGCGGCCAACCCUCUAUAAGAGGGCCCUGGACCUUCCUUUUAUAGGCGUAAGGAGGGGGUCCAGGUGUACAAUUGGGAGAUGUAGCAGUGUGCUAACGUGUCUAGCAGAGAGGAGCUAGUGCCCUAAGUACAUGCAGUCGUGGCAGCCGGAGAGGUUUUGGCAUCCUGUUCGUGUGAUGUCAUGGCCGUCGGAGGAGCGCUGGAGCCUGGCGGAAGGACAGCUGUCGGGGCUUUCGAGUUCUUGCUGACGUCUCCUUGCUUCCGUAAGAGGGUUGGGAGCCGUCGUCGUCAUGGAGCAUGCGGGGCACCAUCAUUGUUUGUUUUACCAGGGCGAGCCAGAUGGGACGCCGGUCUUGUUCCCCGUAGCCAGAGUUAGCUAGGGGUAGGGUAAUGAUGGCCCCUCCUGUGACGUGGUCGGUCCGAGCCCUGGGUAGGGCGAGGCGGAGGCUCCUCCGAGGUCAAGGUCGAGUCUGUCUUCCGGGGCUGAGCCCGGGUCCGAGCCCUGGGUCGGGCGAGGCGGAGUUCGUCGUCUUCCGGGGCUGAGCCCGAGUCCGAGCCCUGGGUCGGGCGAGGCGGAGUUCAUCGUCUUCUGGGGCUGAGCCCGGGUCUGAGCCCUGGGUCGGGCGAGGCGGAGUUCGUCGUCUUCCGGGGCUGAGCCCGAGUCCGAGCCCUGGGUCGGGCGAGGUAGAGUUCGUCGUCUUCCGGGGCUGAGCCCGAGUCCGAGCCCUGGGUCGGGCGAGGCGGAGUUCGUCGUCUUCCGAGGCCAAGCCCGAGUCCGAGCCCUUGGUUGGGCGAGGCGGAGCUUCCUAUGGCGCCUGAGGCCGGACUUGGCUACUGUCAGCCUCACUCUGUCGAGUGGCACAGCAGUCGGAGCGGCGAGGGCGACGCUGUCUUCUUGUCAGGCUGGUCAGUGGAGCGGCGAAGUGACGGCGGUCACUUCGGCUCAGUCGACUGAAAGGCGCGCGUCAGGAUAAGGUGUCAGGCCACCUUUGCAUUAAAUGCUCCUGCGAUACGGUCGGUCGUUGUGGUGAUUUGGCCAAGGUUGCUUCUUGGCGAAGAGUGGGCCUCGGGCGAGCCGAAGGUGUGUCCGUUGCUUGAGGGGGUCCUCUGGCAAGACGUAACUCCUGCAGGGUCGGCUGCCCUUGCCCGAGGCUGGGCUCGGGCGAGGCGAGAUCGUGUCCCUUGAGUGGACCGAGCCUUGACUUAAUCGCACCCAUCAGGCCUUUGCAACUUUGUGCUGAUGAGGGUUACCAGCUGAGAUUAGGAGCCUUGAGGGUACCCCUAAUUAUGGUCCCCGACAAUAUGCAAGGGUUAAGUGCUACAUAUGUCGUGUGAUUGGAGAUCCUCAGCUGAGUAUAAUUGAUUCGGAUCGUCGUAACUUCGCGGACAUGAAGACUUGGUCACUGCCCUACACGUAGCAAUCCAGUGAAGAAAAAGGGUGAUAAAAGAUGGCUAGUAUAGGCCAAGUGCUUGAACUUGGGUAGAAAGAACUCUAGAUGUAGGUAAUUUUACUUAACCUGACAAGUAAAAAUGGAUUUUUAAGGAUCCACUUUUAGUAAGCAUUUCUGCAAAACAGAGUCUUUGAUUCUUGAUAAGCCAUACCUUGAAUCCCACUAGCUAGCAUACCCUUGAGAGUAUUUUCUUUAGUCGGGUAAGUCUUGCUGAGUAAUUCCGUACUCAGGGUUUUAUUCCCUGUUGUUUUUCAGGUUAUAGUUUUGUGCUGCUGAUGAUGGUGUUAAGUGCCGGUGGGCUCUGCCUUCUUAUAAGUCUAAGUAACUCUCCUAUACUUCUUAUUAAGGAUGGUCACUUGAGCUAGCAUAUAUUUCAAACUUAUACUUUUGUAAUCACUCUGAUGAAUAUAAUGUAAAACUUUUGUAACUUGUAAAAUUUGAUGAUAAGAUUUCCGCAGCAAAAAUAUUGGUGUGUGUGAUUUGUGUUACUUAAUCUUGCGGUCCUGGUUAUAAGUGGUUUAUCCGAUGUCCUUGGGGCAAUCGGACGGAUCCUGUUAAGUUAUCUGGUGCACAUGCAUAGCCGUCUGAGGUCUUUGAGACAAGGACAGGUGCAUGUGGGCCCAAUAACUUGGAAGGUUCUGCCACAUCUGGUAUCGGAGCAGGAUUAAGUUUAUACAGUCACAUACAUAUUUUCAAAACAAAAGUUUUGGUUUCGAAAAACCUAUUUUCGACUAAACACAUUGUUUGGCUUUGAAAAACAAUUUUAAAAAAACUAUAAUGCUAGCAACAUCCUCUGUUAAGCCCUAAAUUAAGGACUAUAAGGUGGCUUAUUUGAAAACCACUAACCCACAACCGGGGGUAUUGCAUACAUGUGUAUUGUUAUUUUUGAGGCCAUUCAGUUUUGAAUGGAUCGACGCUCACGUAAGGUGAGAUGUGAGAGCAUGACUGAACAAACGUCCGUCUAGGGAAGAGCAUAAAAAGCGCUUGAUUAUAUACGUGUUCUGCAUAUGUAUAUAUGAAGGCUGUGAUGUGGAGUAUUUACUUUUCUGGGAAUUCAGUACCCCAUGGAUGUGUAUGGGUAUACAGACAUGAGAAUACUGAGAAAUGUAAUGUACUUGUAACGACACACCUAUGCUCAGGUAAGAAGGCGAGUUACCAUAAUGAGUUGCCCUAUGGUUAAAGUGUGGCAACGGCGCCUAUGCGUGGCUCGACGCUUAAUGAUGAGUUGGCCUCCAUAUAGCAAUAUAUGGAGUAUAAACUGUGAUAAACUGUCAUGUGUGGAUCUUGCAUCAUGGGAAAAUGGGUUGUGAUGGAAUUUUCUGCAGGUACACUAACCUCGAAAACGUUUGUGUAGCUGACGACUAGCAAUAUACUGUGAGAGUCAUAAGUAUGCCACCGAUAUAGAACACUAUUGCCACAUUAUGUUGGCAAAAUCAGUGAGGACAAAUAAGACGAUCAUGCAUCCUGAUUGUUGCAUUGUGUUUGUCACCUAUACACCCAAAAUGCUUCUCUCAUCUUUAUUCCAGUAGCCGGUGAUUGUAGAUAAUGUGGUGUAAUGUUGUAUUGUGAAUUUCUAUGAAAUAGCUAUUCUCCGUUUCCUUAGGUAAUAUGCUUAGAGGUUAUAUGUGUUUGCUCUGCUACUCGAUGUGCCAAUAGAGAGUUGGUGACUUGAUUGCCUAAACCCAAAACUAGGCCAUGUUCUUAUUUAGUGAACCAUGCCCCAAAUUUGAAUUGUCCAUUAUCACUCCAUGACAAAGCCCAUACAAGUAAAUGCAUAGACAAUUUCCUUAUUGGACAUAAAAUGUACUUAAGCUUAAAACAAGGAUCUCAAGUCAUGUCUCCUUCUAGAACCAUUCUUUUGUUCAGUUGAUGCAGGUUGAGGUCUCUAUUGUAUUUGGCCUCUCCUUGCGGAUUGCCAUGUUGCUUUAUUAACCCAACCUAGGAAAGGCAUGUCCGGCCAUUUUCAUGAAUUUGAUGCCUUUGAUUUCCCCAUACCUAUCGAAGGCAUACCAACUUAAUGCUUGACCUUGUAAUCUUUGUGAUGGGCAUAUAAAUAUGCUCGGGGCUGAAUUAACAGUCUCCCAUCGUACUCCCUUCAUUAACAAAUUUAGGUUAUGGCCAUGCCUUGUUCAUUUCAUCGGGUCAUGAUCUAUUUGGUUCUCUACUUGUAACCAUCCUUACAGGUGGAGUAUCUCUUUGUACAUUGUCACCCUUGCCCAAUUCAUUUGUGUCGCGUGAGAUUUCUUAUUGGUUAUGUCUGAUAAUGGUGUUAUGACUAAAACCAAUGGUGCCGUUACAAAACCGAGGGCCUUCUGUGUGUGCGCACAUGGUUGCGCUACUCGGCACACGCUGGUAUCACCGUUAGUGGUCAUAAUCCAUUAUGAGACUAUAUCAAUAUGUUAUCUUCCGUGGACCAUUCCUUGAAACAGUUUCUAUGUUGUUUGUGAAGUGAUCAAGCAACAUCUAUCAUCUCUGUUGGAUCAAAAGGGCAUACCACUUUCAUGUGUGGUCUUAUUUCUUUUGAUAUUGGUAGUGACUACUCAUACAAGUUCCCUUUACAUCCUUUGUGUAAAGGUGAAACCUUGGAGCUUUUUAAUGUUGAGAGACAACUGAUUAGCUCUCAAAAUGGGGAUCUGUUUGCCCCUGCUGUUGAGAUGCAGGAGUUUGUUCAUUCGCUCUCCUAUUUAAUCCAUGUAUUUCCUAACCAAGUGGAUAAUUCAUUUCGCAUGAAGAAACGGAUGAACAAACUAACCAAAUAGAUUUCUACCCAAAUGCAUGACCUUUUGCUCGCAAAUGGGAACUCUCAACCCUUGGCUUACUAUGGUACUGAGAGGACUUGCUCAAUGUCAAAAGUAGUUCAACAAGUUGGUUUUACUAACCUGUAACUGCAUUGUGAACAAAGGUUGAGUUUAGAGAUCGAUUUGUCGAGUUGUCUAAACUCACUUUUGCACAACCCACCUUAAGGAAGUGUUUAUAAGAAUUGAGAUUAAGUUGGCCAGUAACCACCUAAUUGUCGCUCCAGUCAUGCCUCGAUCGCCUCACGUAUGGUUUUCCAACGCGUGUAAUUAGGUCGAGUCAUGCUUAGUGCUCGAUAAAAUGGAUUGGUUGCGAAGGCAGCAUUUACAGAUCCCUCCGCUGGUGAUUUUUCAAGUCUUUAUCAUUUUUCUUGGACUUGGAUUCUCUGGCUAACACGAGUUAACUGUGAGGUUCUUCGACAUUCACACCCGUCUGGUGUGCUAUGAACUUACCGUGACCAAUUGUUGGUAAACCUCUUUCUGUGUGUUUUACCCAAGAGAUUGCAUCUGAUUCUGUUUGGGUAAAAUCGUGUAUCUACCGCUCACUCAACAGACUCAGAUAAUAUUGUGUCAUCAGAAAAAGCAAACUGCACACAUGGAACCUUAUGUGUUCCUCUGACAGACAUCAUCUCUAUUGGUGGACAUUUCUAAAUUAGCCUAAGGCGAUACAUGUUAUGUCCACUAGAGAAACCACAUUCUGAGACACUCGCCAUUGCGUGGAGCUGUUUUAUGGUUACUGCUGAUAUGGCCAAGGUUACAUACUUCUCUACCCUUAGAAGUCUUUUGCUCCGAAUCUCGGGACGAGAUUCUUUUAAGGGAGGAGGGCAGUAACACCCCAGGUGUUUAUAUUCCGCUCGACAAUGAGUAUGGAUUUAAGCACGUGAUAUCAGUAAAUAAGACAGACACUAAGGUCUAAUUAUUUUCAUCUAUCACGGUUUUAAUAUCACAUCUAUUUCAUUUGUCACGAGUGCGACGUCGCUUUUAUUUUCAUCUAUCCGGGCUCUUCCUAAAUUUUUGUGAUGUUCGGAACAUCGUCGUUCCGAAAAUCGGUGCGUCCGGUGAUUAUUUAAAAAUACAUCGCUCGCGCGUAUACGAAUUCGGAAGCCCGACACCCUCGGAUGAUUUUAUCCUGAACAUAUUAAGAAGAACUCAACGACUAAGAUUUCAGUGUAGAAUAAUUUAAUCCCCUUCUAUCAACCAGGACCUCACAUCUACAGAUUCUUAAUUGAAUUGUCCUCUAGCCGAGUGUUCGAGUAGCGAACGAAAUUCGUCUGAAGUCAACUGAAUCAAAUGCAGAUUAAAAUACUGAAGCCGAAAUACAUUUAAUUCGGUCCGUUGUUUCUUGCCUCGAUCUCGUUUGAUUCGAUCCAUUAUGCGUCGCUAAUAAUUCGGCAGUUUGAAAUAUCUGCGAUUUCCAUUAUAAAAAAGGGGGGGGGGGGGGAAUGAAAAAUAGAAAAGUCCCAAAAAAAUCUGCAGCCGCGGCUCUUCCUUCCCUGGAUAUUUUGGCGCUCGGCCUUAUCUCAUCCUGGCCGCGCCGCUCAACGCAGGGAGAAAAUCCCACUGCCCCUCUCCCUGAUCCUUAUCCCUACGCACGCAGGCUACUUAUCCCCAGUCAUCUUCUCCUUCCCUGCAGCGGCGUGCUCCUAUGCUCCUCCCCAGCGUCCCUCACCGAGCACCCUCUGGCCCAGCUCCUCGCCAUUUUGCGCCCUCGGAGUCGUCCGGUCCAGUGUGCUUCGGUGGAUGGGCGUCGACUCCCCGGCGUCGGCUUCGAGCUCCCUCCCUCAACGCCGUCCUCCCAGCAGCGAGUGUCUCUCUUCCUCGACGUCUCUUCCAUGGUUGCGGCUCCCUCUCUCUUUCUGGCCUCCACUGCCGCGUCACUGGAUCGGUCCUGCUCGCCCCCAUGGCGCCUGGGUGGAUCUCCCUCCUCCCUGAAGCUUUUCCCCAUGGCGCCCAGUCUUGGUUGCUCCCUGUGCCGUGGAGUCUCCUGCGCGCCCAGCCAUUUCUUUCUUCUCCCUCAGCUCGCUCCCUGUUCGCCGCGUGCUCUGGAGUCCUCUCUGCACCGCACCGUGAAGCUCCCAUGGCGCCCUGCUUCUCUCCCUACUGGCGCGCCGUGGAGCCCUUGCUUUCUUUCAUGCAGCGCCUGCUUUCCUUGCCGCGUGUUGCCUCAGCUCCCUCGUCGCGGAUCCUGCUCGCGAGCAUGCUCCUUCCCUGAAGAUUUUCCCCCAUGGCGUCCCUGUUUUUUCUUCUUCCCUGCGCGCAGCUCGUUCUUUCUCUGUUUGCCGCGUGCGUCUCUCUCUGCGCGCUUCUCUCUCCCGCCCCUUCUCUCCCAUGGUGCGCCCUGGUCCUUGCUUCUUUCUCUCUCUGCUCAUCCCCAAGCUGCGUCCUGGAGUUUGAGUUCGUCAUCUUCAACCUUGGUCCAAGCCACUCGCUCUCUGCCACGCGCCAUGGAACUCUCUGCGUCGCGCGUGGUCCUGCUCUUCUCACCGCGCUCGGAUUCCGUCUCCCUGCGCGCACUCUCGGAUUCCGUCUCCCUCACGCACCCCUUGCCGAACCCGUGGUCACGGUCUCGCCUUGCUGCCACAGCCGCGCCUACUACCGCGACCGACCUGCUCCCUUGUGCGCGCUCUGCUUCCUUGCCGAGCUCAUCCCUGUGCACUGAGGUCGCGUGCAGCUCGUGCCCUGCUCGGUUGCUGCUUCCUGUUCCCCGUGUCUGAGCUCGUCCUCGACCUCGUCGUACGUCGUUCUUUGGUCCCGGAUUGGUGGUCGUGCGGGUGCUGUUGGUGAUGGGCGACAAUUGUUGCCAUCGUGGUGCCGAUCUUCCCUGCCGACCUUGCCGUAAUCCAUAGUCGCGACCUCGCCUAACGCAUUCGUCGCUUGGCCCUGUGCCGUUUGGCUCGGCGACCGUGUUCGCUACCGUGUGCGCUUGUUCCUAAUGCGCAUCGUGCCGUAGUUCAAUCUCGCCGAUUGACUCCCGCUAUUCGCCGUGCUGUGUGCUGGCGUUCUCUCGCGACGGACCACGCCGUCGUCUAGCCUUAUUCGCUUCGCCGUAGCACCAUCGUCAUCUGCCAGCUCCAUCACCCGUCAUUUUUGGUAUUUUCCCCAACACCGCGCCUUUCUGAUCUCGUCGUUCGUCGAUGCAAUUUAUGUGUGCGGAUGAAGAAAGUGAAGCCAGUGUAUAUAGCUCGCGGGUGUUCAGCUGAAGGUCGUCGUCGUCGUUCCGUGCGUCGUCAAGAAAUCCCAAGCAUCGGGUGAAGAUGAAGCUAGCAGCGUGAUGUUCACCAAGUGCGCGACAAAAAGCUCGAACAUGUCGUCGAUCGUCAUCCUCGUCUACACCAAGAUCUGAGAAGAUUAGGCGCAGAAGAAAAUAAAUCAGUACGCGGCCGAAGAAUUCUCGAUGUGGACAAAGAAGCGCGAUUUGACGUAGCACUCACCCUAUUUCCGGUGAAAUGCUGAGCUGAAAGGCGUCGAUUUCGUGGUUUCAAGUCGGAUGUCAUAAGGGUAAGUUAAUUCGUAUUCCAGUCAAUUAAGUUUAUAAAUAGAUUAAAUAGAAUUAUUGGUCACAAUAAAUGUUAUUAAUUUAGCAUGCGUAUAUUUUGAUGAUCGAUUUAGAUAAAUAUGUAAAUCAAGUAAUUAAGAUACACAGUUUAAAGAGUUAAUAAAAAGCUAGGAAUAAAAAUAGAUGUUUUAGUGUUAUUAUGUCAAUUUGGUUAAUGGAUGUAGUCGAUGCCCUGCUGUGAUAUCCAUGAUGCUUAAUGCUUGGUUUUAAGUGUUUCAUCUUUUUUAGUGUAGAUUAUCUAUAUUAUACUUGUUAUACAUGUGCUCAUACAUGUGCAUCGUGCAUCUCAUGAGGUACGAUAAAUAAUCACGUGAUGCGGAAAACGACCCAAGUCGACCCCAAGCGCGGGCUACUCCGCAUGGUGAUGCUGAUGGACGAACCGAAAGAUGGAUAAUCAGAAGGAGUGCCAAGCAAAAGGAUGCUUGCCAUGUGGUCGCCACUUAACAAACACUAACCUAGUGUUAUUUAGGCAAGCCCCGGUGCAUUUGCUACCUCCUUGAUGUUUUAAAAAUCUUUAUCACCUUGUUUGAUGCAUUAGGUGAUAGGAGUUGUGUGCUAAACCAUUGAUGCAUUUCCUUCCUUGAAAAAUUGAUUACCCUUCCUUGAUACCCUUUUUGAAAAGAAUUUUAUGAUGCUUAGCUUUUCUUUAGCAAACAAAAUUGUUUUGUUUUAAAACAAAGGUGAUGCUUCAGUGGAUGGGAAUGUUUUCAAAAAUAAAACUUGAUAUUGAAUCCAUCAAGGCCUUGAUGGGUUCAACAUCGGAAAAUAUGUACCUCUGCCAAGUACCAAACUUUGGGUUGAAAUUAAUAAAGCUGAGACCAGGCGGUUGACUUGCACGAGAAGGGAGUCUCGGUGUAGUGUCUCCGUCUGAGUCGAUUAAGGACCGUCUCGAUGUAGGCUUGCUGAUCGAGGACCCUUUAACUGGUCACAUGCCUCAACAUGGGUAAGCUUUGCCUCGGGCAGACUAAUACCAGAAUAAGAUAACACGCAAUGGGAGUGGAGAGAUGGCGAGAGUAGCGUGUACCCUCCGUGGCAAGAGGCUGGACGGUGGUGUAUCUGUGCUCUCGGUUGGCGUGAACCUGAUCUGGUCUUAAGAGCCCUAUUGGCGAGUUGACAUAUGCAAGGGUCAAGUGCUACAUAUGUCGUGUGAUUGGAGAUCCUUAGCUGAGUAUAAUCAAUUCGGAUCGCCAUAACUUCGCGGACAUGAAGACUUGGUAACUGCCCUACACGUAGCAAUCCAGGGAAGAAAAAGGGUGAUAAAAGACGGCUAGUAUAGGCCAAGUGCUUGAACUAGGGUAGAAAGAACUCUAGAUGCAGGUAAUUUUACUUAACUUGACAAGUAAAAAUGGAUUUUUAAGGAUCCACUUUUAGUAAGCAUUUUUGCAAAGCAGAGUCUUUGAUUCUUGAUAAGCCAUACCUUGAAUCCCUCUAGCCAGCAUACCCUUGAAAGUCUUUUCUUUAGUCAGGUAAGUCUUGCUGAGUAAUUCCGUACUCAGGGUUUUAUUCCCUGUUGUUUUUCAGGUUAUAGUUUUGUGCUGCUGAUGAUGGUGUUAAGUGCCGGUGGGCUCGACCUUCUUAUAAGUCUAAAUAACUCUCCUAUACUUCUUAUUGAGGAUGGUCACUUGAGCUAGCAUAUAUAUCAAACUUAUACUUUUGUAAUCACUCCGAUGAAUAUAAUGUAAAACUUUUGUAACUUGUAAAAUUUGAUAAUAAGAUUUCCGUUGCAAAAAUAUUGGUGUGUGUGAUUUGUGUUACUUAAUCUUGUGGUCCUGGUUAUAAGUGGUUUAUCCGAUGUCCUUAGGGCAAUCGGACGGAUCCUGUUAAGUUAUCUGGUGCACAUGCAUAGCCGUCUGAGGUCUUUGAGACAAGGACAGGUGCAUGUGGGCCCAAUAACUUGGGAGGUUCUGCCACACCUUCGGCUUGCUCGAAGGUAAAAGUGCGAAUACUUCUCUAAUCCAUUGUGAAUAGUACGUGGCACUGUUCAUCUAUUGAUAGGAAAGGGACGUAGCCCAAGCAAAAGUACAUUUAUGACCCUGAUAUUUACACAUUACUCUAAUACAAGUAUCAAUGAUAAACAAGCCUUUUCAUUGCUGACUCAAUGUCACGUAUAACCUUCGUGACCAUCUUGAGCCGAAGCUCUAACUCUUCGGUGUUUUGUGCAUGCCUGUUGCAGAUUUGGCGCUCAUUCCCUUUGGUUGCAAACAAUUCCUUCAUCCUAAGGACCUUCGGCAGAGAAGGGGACCCCCAACAACAUCUGCUAUUUCUCUAUGUGGUUUUGGGUGUUAUUAUAAAUAUGAUUCAUGAUCAUGCUUUAUUAUUGUGAUUCUAUUCUUUAAUGUUCAUGAUAAGAUUAUGGUGUUAAUUGGAACAUGGAGCUUAACUUGAGAUAACAGUGCAACCACAAGGGUGGAAUGGGACGCCCUUAGCCAAGUAAUUAGAAAGCUAGGGAGAGACUACCUUACACAAAAGGGGCAAGCGGGGAGGCGUCGCUGCAGAGUAUAGGUGUCACACCAGGAUUUAAGGGAUAAAGCCGGGUGCAUCUCAUAUGUGGGCCAAGGAAGAACAACACACAAAAUAACAGAAUGCAUAGAGAUAAAUGUCAUAAAUAUCAUGAAUGUACUUAUUACAUAGCGGAAGUCUUACAAAAUAAAUGAUAAUUAUAAAACAAACUAAAUCUUAUUUCCCUAGCGCCACAAAGCUGACUGGGAGACGCCACCUAGAUUAAGUCGAAGUCCUCGCUGGGCGGCUCCUCUUGAACCACUUGUUCUUUACCUGUGGGGGGGUGUGAGACAGCAAGGGUGAGCUCACAUACGUUCAUAGCUCAACAAGUUGUUGGGAAUAAUGUGCAUGAACUCACCAAAGGUGAG